rfam:Clostridium sp. CAG:299 genomic scaffold, scf344
UAAUUCCUGGGAUGUUCGAUAACUCUUACUUUUUUUGAACCUACAUUUGACAUAACGGGAUUCCAAUAUUUUUAAACGGAUGUCAGGCCUCCUUGAGUGGAAGGCAGAUGUUUAAGUGAGGUUGCCCACCUGGCGCGGCUAGGAGUCAAUUUGGUAAGAGCCGGCAUUUUGGGGUUACU